UACGUAGGGGGCGAGCGUUGUCCGGAGUUACUGGGCGUAAAGGGCACGCAGGCGGUCUGCUAAGUUCGGAGUGACAGUCACCAGCUUAACUGGUGAAGGACUUUGAAAACUGGCUGACUUGAGAGCGAAAGAGGGACAUGGAAUUCCGGGUGGAGCAGUGAAAUGCGUAGAGAUCCGGAGGAACACCAAAGGCGAAGGCAGUGUCCUGGCUCGUUUCUGACGCUGAGGUGCGAAAGCCAGGGGAGCGAACGGG
rnacentral:rRNA from 1 species